GGUCCUCAAAGAUUGUAGAGCCAUGUAAUGGGUGGGUUGGAAGGGUCCUUGAAAGUCAUAGAGUCAUGGGAUGGUUGGGUUGGAAGGGUCCUUGAAGAUCAUCGAGCCAUGGGAUGGUUGGGUUGGAAGGGUCCUUACAGAUCACAGAAGCACAGAAUGGUUGUGUUGGAAGGGUCCUUACAGAUCACAGAACCACUGAAUGGUUGGGUUGGAAGGGUCCUGACAGGUCACAGAACGACUGAAUGGUUGUGUUGGAAAGGUCCUUGCAGAUCAAAGAACCACAGACUCGUUGUGUUGGAAGGGUCCUGACAGAUCACAGAACCACAGAUUGGUUGGAAGGGUCCUUACAGAUCACAGAAGCACAGAAUGGUUGUGUUGGAAGGGUCCUUACAGAUCACAGAGCCACAGAGCGGUUGGGUUGUGUUGGAAGGGUCCUUACAGAUCACAGAACCACUGAAUGGUUGUGUUGGAAGGGUCCUUACAGAUCACAGAAGCACAGAGCGGUUGUGUUGGAAAGGUCCUUACAGAUCACAGAAGCUCAGAGCAGUUGUGUUGGAAAGGUCCUUACAGAUCACAGAGCGGUUGUGUUGGAAAGGUCCUUACAGAUCCCCCUCUGGCUGAAGGAUUCCCCCACAUCUGACCCCACAUCUCCUCUGUGUUGGGUUCCCCCAUGUCCCAUCCCGCUGUGCCCACGCAGUCGCUCUCCUCCCAUCACCACCUCCCUCCCUGAGCCUUCCCCUCCCCACGCCGCCCCCAAACUCUCACCCUGGCCCCAUAGCAGAGCGAAACCCCACAUCCCCCACCCCCAGAGCUCCCCGAUAUGCCGCAGUGGGGGCUCUGAGGACCAUCACAGCCCCCCCCUUUGCCAUCCAUCGGGUCCUGGCAGGUAUCACCGCGAUGGCACGCGGGACGCUGAUCCCACAGCCGUACACUUCCAUUCUCACUCCUCUCGUGCAUAGGGGACGGUCGGCCGUGCCGGGAGCUCUGCGUCUCCCAUCGCCCCCAACCCCAUACGGGGACCCCAUUUAGGGCCGGGGGCGGGGUGGGGCGCCCCCUCGGGCUCAACCACUGACGGAACCUUCUCUUCUUUCUCUUUUUUCUCUCUCUCUCUCGUCCCGGGAUCCCACUCGGAAAAGGGAAGGAGAGAGGAUGGCUCGGCUGCGCGCUGCGUCUUGGGCUCGGGUUCCCUGGAUGACUUCAUCCACGUGUCCUACGAGUUCUGCUAACCGACCCGGAUACCCCAUCCCGUCCCAUCCCAUCCCCCCCUCCGACCCGGGCCCCGAGCCCGCCGGUUGCCCCUCGGCUCCGAUGCGGCCCCACGCGGGGGGCCGGGCUCCCUGGGAAGCCUCGGGGGGGAAACGUGGGGGUCUCAGCCCCACGUUGGCCGUGCUGUGGGCAGGGCUGUAGGCGCAGACUGAGCUCCCUGCGCUCGGAGCAUCGGUGGGCCAUCGGAGCGUUGGGGUGCUGCGGUUUCCGUGCCUAUUUCCUUCCCUCCCCGCACCCCACACGCUCAGGAGCCCCCCGGGGGGUGGGCACUGAGCCCCCCUGGUGGGCAGAGAGGGUUGGAGGUGAGCGUGGCUGUCCCCGUACCGCAGAGGCCUUUGGGGGAGCUUUGGGGUGCGUGCAGUGGGGAUGGGGGGCAGCGGCUCCGGGUCUCUGUGUCUGGAGGGAGGGGGGUCCAUCCGUGGGGCUAUAGGGGGGCGGCUGCAGUGGGGCGGACUCUGAGCG
ensembl:lncRNA